GGCAUUACGCCGGUCUGAACGGAAAUCAUUGAUGUUGAUUAAUAUGUAGAGAAGUUUCUGCUGAUGCUA
rnacentral:tRNA from 1 species